AGCGUAGGCGGUCGAUUAAGUUAGAUGUGAAACCCCCGGGCUUAACUUGGGGACUGCAUCUAAUACUGGUUGACUUAGAGUACAGGAGAGGGAAGCGGAAUUCCUAGUGUAGCGGUGAAAUGCGUAGAUAUUAGGAGGAACACCAGUGGCGAAGGCGACUUUCUGGACUGUAACUGACACUGAGGCUCGAAAGCCAGGGUAGUGAACG
rnacentral:rRNA from 1 species